rnacentral:rRNA from 1 species
UACGUAGGGGGCAAGCGUUGUCCGGAAUCAUUGGGCGUAAAGAGCGUGUAGGCGGCCCGGUAAGUCCGCUGUGAAAGUCGGGGGCUCAACCCUCGAAUGCCGGUGGAUACUGUCGGGCUAGAGUGCGGAAGAGGCGAGUGGAAUUCCUGGUGUAGCGGUGAAAUGCGCAGAUAUCAGGAAGAACACCCGUGGCUAAGGCGGUUCUCUAGUACGGUACUGACGCUGAGACGCGAAAGCGUGGGGAGCGAACAGG